UAUUUUCAAAAAUAAAUGGACAUUUGAUUAUAACAGUUCUUAUUUAAGUACCUUAAACAAGGAAGAUGUGGCUUGUUCAUUUAUAAAAGUAGUACUGAGAAACGUCAACUGAAGUACAUCCAGAGUGAACGGUUUUCCCUAAAUGGUGUGGUAGGUACAUAAAUUUUAGAGAAAUGAAAGUAAGAAAACUUUGAAUUAUCCUUAGUUAUUAACAAGAAGACUAAUGAGAUAAAGUCAAAAAUUUUAAGAAAUGGAUUUUCAGGUCCUUUCUCUCUGACCUUAUCCUUGUGGUUGUUUGGUUAAAAAAAAAAAAAUGCAUAUAAACCUUAUGGGGCAGGCCUAGUUAUAGGAUUAUAGCUUGUGUUAGGUGAUUUGGGGAGGAUUUAAAGUAGCAGCAAUUUGCUCAGGAAGUAGGAGUAAUUCUGUGAUUGGGUUUCUUUAUGAACCUUACCUAGGAGGUAGGAAGAAUUAAUUGGGGCUAAGGUUAUAAUAAUAAAGCAAAAACAGUUCCUUAUAUUAGCCAGAAAAUGGGAAUAGUUGAUCAUUUUUGUGGUUUGGAGAGUGCUGUGUUUGUCUUGGUGCAGAUGUAAUUACUAAAUUGCCUUAUUUUUGUCUUGCUCUCUCAUAUUCACAGAGUGACUUUGUCUAAUGUUAAUGUUUUGUGAUUUUUUUAUGUUUAACAGAAUACCUUGAUCUGCCUGAGUGUCAGUCCAGCUCCUGGCUGCUUUCUCUUUUUUAAGAGGUUGGUUUCCCCAAGAAGCACCAUUAAACAAACAUUCAAGCACAAGUCGUUUCUCUGGAGAUGAAGGAGUAGGAAGAUGAGAUUAAAAAGCCAGGAAAGGAUGCCUAUGAAGCCAGUCACACGAAACAUCCAGAUGUUUUUAAUCCAUGCAAAGUAAUGCAUAGUAAUGAUGGAUAUGCACUACAUUUUUCAACUGCUUUGCAAAAUGUAGUUAUAUAAAAAAGUUUUAAAAACACAAUUCUUUCAAAAUUUGUUGUUUUUUUUUUUU
rnacentral:lncRNA from 1 species